rnacentral:RNase_P_RNA from 1 species
CACUGAGGCCGUUCUAUCGCCUUUUCGAAAGAGAGGGAGGAAAGUCCGGGCAACACAGAGCAUUCCGCCAUUUGAUAAGAAUGGGAUUCAGCUAACACUGAAGACAGAAAGUGCCACAGAAAACUAUACCACCUCGCCGCAAGGUGCGGAAAGGGUGAAAACGUGAGGUAAGAGCUCACGAUUGCAAAGGUAACGAUGCAGUGGGAAAACCUCGGAAGUUGAAAGACCAAAUAGGCUGUAAUUGUGGGGCUGCUCGCUCCCUUUGUUGCAAAACAAUAUUACAGUGGGUAGGUUGAUUGAUUACGUUUCGGCGUAACAGAUAAAUGAUAGAAGCCACACUUCGGUGUGGAACAGAACCCGGCUUACAGGCCUCUUUUUCUU